AGAGUUUGAUCCUGGCUCAGAGCGAACGCUGGCGGCAGGCCUAACACAUGCAAGUCGAACGGGCACCUUCGGGUGUCAGUGGCAGACGGGUGAGUAACGCGUGGGAACGUGCCCAUCGGUUCGGGAUAACCCAGGGAAACUUGGGCUAAUACCGGAUACGCCCUUUUGGGGAAAGAUUUAUUGCCGAUGGAUCGGCCCGCGUCUGAUUAGCUAGUUGGUGAGGUAACGGCUCACCAAGGCGACGAUCAGUAGCUGGUCUGAGAGGAUGAUCAGCCACACUGGGACUGAGACACGGCCCAGACUCCUACGGGAGGCAGCAGUGGGGAAUAUUGGACAAUGGGCGCAAGCCUGAUCCAGCCAUGCCGCGUGAGUGAUGAAGGCCUUAGGGUUGUAAAGCUCUUUCACCCACGACGAUAAUGUCGGUAGUGGGAGAAGAAGCCCCGGCUAACUUCGUGCCAGCAGCCGCGGUAAUACGAAGGGGGCUAGCGUUGCUCGGAAUCACUGGGCGUAAAGGGCGCGUAGGCGGCCGAUCAAGUCAGGGGUGAAAGCCUGUGGCUCAACCACAGAAUUGCCUUUGAUACUGUUUGGCUCGAGACCGGAAGAGGUUGGUGGAACUGCGAGUGUAGAGGUGAAAUUCGUAGAUAUUCGCAAGAACACCAGUGGCGAAGGCGGCCAACUGGUCCGGUUCUGACGCUGAGGCGCGAAAGCGUGGGGAGCAAACAGGAUUAGAUACCCUAGUAGUCC
rnacentral:rRNA from 1 species